rnacentral:rRNA from 1 species
AACGAACGCUGGCGGCGUGGAUAAGACAUGCAAGUCGAACGGGACAAGUAGCAAUAUUUGUCUAGUGGCGAACGGGUGCGUAACACGUGGGCAACAUGCCUGGAAGAGCGGGAUAGCCCGGGGAAACUCGGAUUAAUACCGCAUGUGACAACGGGGCGGAUUCGCCCUGUUUUCAAAGGUGGGGACCGCAAGGCCUGCCGCUUCCAGAUUGGCCCGCGUCCUAUCAGCUAGUUGGCGGGGUAACGGCCCACCAAGGCGACGACGGGUAGCUGGUCUGAGAGGACGACCAGCCACACUGGAACUGAGACACGGUCCAGACACCUACGGGUGGCAGCAGUGGAGAAUCUUUCACAAUGGGGGAAACCCUGAUGGAGCGACGCCGCGUGGAGGAUGACGGUCUUCGGAUUGUAAACUCCUGUCAUGAAAGAACAAGCGGAGCGGGUGAACAGCCCGCCGAGUUGAUAGUAUUUCAAGAGGAAGGGACGGCUAACUUCGUGCCAGCAGCCGCGGUAAUAC